rnacentral:rRNA from 1 species
GAUGAACGCUGGCGGCGUGCCUAAUACAUGCAAGUCGAGCGAACAGACGAGGAGCUUGCUCCUCUGACGUUAGCGGCGGACGGGUGAGUAACACGUGGAUAACCUACCUAUAAUACUGGGAUAACUUCGGGAAACCGGAGCUAAUACCGGAUAAUAUAUUGAACCGCAUGGUUCAAUAGUGAAAGACGGUUUUGCUGUCACUUAUAGAUGGAUCCGCGCCGCAUUAGCUAGUCGGUAAGGUAACGGCUUACCAAGGCGACGAUGCGUAGCCGACCUGAGAGGGUGAUCGGCCACACUGGAACUGAGACACGGUCCAGACUCCUACGGGAGGCAGCAGUAGGGAAUCUUCCGCAAUGGGCGAAAGCCUGACGGAGCAACGCCGCGUGAGUGAUGAAGGUCUUCGGAUCGUAAAACUCUGUUAUUAGGGAAGAACAAAUGUGUAAGUAACUAUGCACGUCUUGACGGUACCUAAUCAGAAAGCCACGGCUAACUACGUG